rnacentral:lncRNA from 11 species
GUAAGCCCUGAUGCAUAGCUCUUUAAAUACUUCAGUACUUUUAUCACCUGCUAUACCUGUUUCAAGCAUCUUUUGUAGAGCAACAUUAACAUCACCCCUUUAAAUGCUCUACUUUAUGUAGGAGCUUCUACCUGCUGGCCAUGUGCUUGCUAUGGAAUCCAACGAAUGCAGAGCAUCAUUUAGGAGAACUUGAGGUGAAAGACUUGUAGCACCACAAUCACUGAGGUCUGAAAUGACGAAGAUCAUUCAUUCAGGACACACAGGAGCAGAGGAGUGAAUUUUGUUGCUGUGUCUCGGGAUCAAUGAUAGGAAAAAGCGCAAUGGGAAGGUUAACCGAUCCUUCCACUGGAGAGAGUUCCACAGUCUGGGAACAAUCACAGAGAAUGCUCAAAACCACCAAGUCCUCAAAACCACCAAGAUGUCAACAAAAAUAUUCCACAUAAGGAAAAUGCUAAGACUGGCACUUUUCCAUGACUUGCUGCUGAAACCUUCAGAAAUAUAGAGGCAGACUGAAUAAUGUACAUGAUGCUGUCAAGCAUUCUGACUUGCUGGCAGUAAUACUGCUAUUAUUUAUUAUUUACAUAUUUAAUGACCUUAUUGCUAUUAUGUGCUGUUAGCCCGACUAAUUGUAAUGCAAUAAACAUAAUUUACAAGUAUAUACAUAAUCAGGCCUUAGUGGCAAUACCUGAAGCAGCUGCAGACUUUCCACCACAGUCCCUUUAAAAGUGAUAUCAUCAUGAUGUGUGUCUGUUUUGAUCAUCGUAUACAUCAAGUGACCUACAUAGAAUCAUUUUUGUCUUCUUUAAUGAGAAGUGAUCAAAGCUAUAAUUAGGAUAUGAUUAUCUUGUUUUGAACUGAAGAUCGCAGGGAGGGAAAAAAAGUAAAACCUUACGUACAGAAGGUAUUUUGAGAGAAAGACAUCUGCUCUGACUGCAUACUGCUUCUUCAUCUUUGUUUCCAUUUUUAAGGAUAGGCUGCUUUUGAUCCGUCCAAAAACAUAAUGUUAGCUUAACCUUGACAGGUCCAAGCUGCUUGGUCCUACACUAAUUUAGGAGUUGUAUAUUUUUUCUAAACUGAGUCAGAAAAAUUCAAUUGGGUGUAAGCAGCUGAACUAUAUUCAGAAUUGAAGCUAGACAGUACAGCCCCACGCAUAUUUUACUCAGGGGUAAAGUAAACCAGACAUGUGAAUGAUUUAGUUUGGUGAAAGGAUUAUAGAUAUACAGUGGGGAUGCAUAAGGAUUUCAUUUCAGUUUACUUUUGAUCAGAACGUAUUGAAAAACUGAAUGUGAGUUAAAGCAAAACUGACCAAUUUGGCCAUUACACUGAGAUGAUUUUUUAUCAGAAUUUACAAAAAGUUGUAAGACCUGAAUGUGAGAGUAAGUAAAUUUUCCACAUUUGUCCACCUCUAACAAAAUAUGUUAUCCUACAUGCAUCUAGAAGACCCUCCCAGCUGAAACUUCCAGGGUUUACUCCCAGCUGAAUGUUUUUUAUAGGAUCAGGCUGGUUCUACCAUUAUGCAAAAUAAACUGGAUGUGGGGAAAGAAGUUGUGAUGGACCACUGGAGUGCUAUGUAUAGGAUAUACACAGUUUUCACUGUACUAUGAAGCUAAUUUCAAUUUCCAAAUUUCUAGCAGUGCAGGGGGAGAUACUGAAAAUUCUCACUGAAAGUUGCUCAUUAGAAAACUUAAAACUCUUAUAAUUGCUGCAUUCAUAUUUCCUUGGUAACUUUGCCUCUUUUCUUCGGAUGCCUAAACUGCAACUCUAAAUGUUCAGCUGAGAUUUUAAGUAAAUGCAAUUUGAGAAAUAUGGGGACAGAAGGAAAAAAAUGUUGUGGGGCCAUUAUUUAUUUAUUUGCGACAUUUAUAUCCCGCCCUUUUCACCCUGAAGGGGACUCAGGGUGGUUUACAAGUAUAUACACAUACAAUAUAUUAUAUUAAUUAAUAUAUUAUAAUUCUUGCUGUUACACCCUGUAUAGAAAUAAGCUUCUGUAACCAUCUCUAGAUAUUCUUUGCUUAUCCUAUUAUUGAAUAAAUGUCCUGAAAUGUUACACGCACUUCUGCGCUUCUACCCACCCCCCCAACCCCAUAUUGACUACAAACAGUUUGAGCAGUUACUCUAGUUUUGGAUUCUAAUGCUCAUUAUUACCUGAUAGUAUGUUCUAGCAUAAAUGCCAAAUAUUCUAAUAGAUUUUACAAGAGCUCUUAUUUUUUAACUUCCUCCAACCGUUUCUGAUUUGCUUCUUUGAAAAGUGAAAGACUUUUUUCGAGAUUUUUUUUUUAAAAAAACCCUAAGAUAAUUGAUUAUGUAAACCAGCUUUACAAGGGCUGAGGUGAUUGACUUUCUGACAAUGACAAUAAUCUGAGAACAUAAUACUAUCUUUCAACUGCUUUGUAUUAAAUAUGUGACUGUUGAAUAAUUGCCUUUAACAUGUGAAAAGAUUUGACCCACCUUUAUUAAAACAUCAAUAUUUAUGCCUAUUAAACAUGGAUAUUACUAGCUCUGAAU